ACAUGUUUUAUAAUCGUACAGAUUGACAUUUGAAUCAAGACAAAGAGUUCGGCUUCAGUCAAACACCCUCAUUCAGAGUAAUGUUUGCGCAUUUGGAGAACGCGUUACAAGUCCUUCAAAUUGUAAAUUGUGUAAACGGUUGAAGCAUGCGAAGAUGUUUCACGCCGUUAAUUAAUUAAAAUGAGACAUUAUAUUCUCUUCUCCUCUCCUCUUUUUUCGCUUGACGAGACACCAAGUUUCUGAAGCCGAACUCAGUUUCUAUAACUCAGAAGAAAAUGGUGGGUCCCACCCUCUCGCUCCUUUAAAAUCGAGUAAAUGGUCAUUCUCUUCCGAAUUCCGGCAGUGGAGACCGGAGACCACCACACCCGACACCACGAGGUUCGACGUGGCAGAUGAAACCACCGCCUCUAGGAAAUUUGAGCAGCUUGCCGAAAAAGGUAGAGAAGAGAAUCUCCGAAUUCCCGGAAGUUCGACCACAGCCUCCCGUCUUUCAGAUCUGGAAUUCCUCGCUUUUCUUCCGCCCAAAAAAUCGUAAAGAUUGUCGCUAUGGCACCCAAGAGAAAGGUGAAUAGAUACGAUGAGAACUGGCAGAAACAAUGGUACGGGGCUGGGAUAUUUGCUUAAGGAAGUGAAGAAGUGAAAGUUGACAUAGUCAAGAAGCGGGAGAAGAAGAAGGUUCUGAGAAACGUGGAGAAGGCCGGAUUGCUGUCCAAGAUCGAUGAAUUAGGGUGUACUCUGUCUUCCAUCGAGAGAUUGGGGGUUUUGUCCAAGGCAGAGGAGUUUGGCUUGUUGAGCUUGAUUGAGAAAGUGGCGAGCUUCUCUCCGGCGACGUUAGCAUCGGUGGCGUUGUUAUUCUUUGUCGCCGGCGGUAAUGGAUAUUAAAUCGCCGCCGACGGAUAGGGGAGAGAGGGGGAGAAGAGAACGAGUGUCUUGUGACUCUCGUCUGCGACACUCAAAGGGAGAGAAGAAGAGAGGAGAGGAGAAUGGAACCAUGUCUCGUUUUGGUUAAAUAACUAGUGAAACAUCUUCGCAUGCUUCAACCCUUUA